AUUGAACGCUGGCGGCAUGCCUUACACAUGCAAGUCGAACGGUAACGGGCCUUCGGGUGCCGCCGAGUGGCGAACGGGUGAGUAAUACAUCGGAACGUGCCCGAUCGUGGGGGAUAACGAGGCGAAAGCUUUGCUAAUACCGCAUACGAUCUACGGAUGAAAGCAGGGGACCGCAAGGCCUUGCGCGGACGGAGCGGCCGAUGGCAGAUUAGGUAGUUGGUGGGAUAAAAGCUUACCAAGCCGACGAUCUGUAGCUGGUCUGAGAGGAUGAUCAGCCACACUGGGACUGAGACACGGCCCAGACUCCUACGGGAGGCAGCAGUGGGGAAUUUUGGACAAUGGGCGCAAGCCUGAUCCAGCCAUGCCGCGUGCAGGAUGAAGGCCUUCGGGUUGUAAAAUGCUUUUGUACGGAACGAAAAGCCUUCUUUUAAUACAGGAGGGUCAUGACGGUACCGUAAGAAUAAGCACCGGCUAACUACGUG
rnacentral:rRNA from 1 species